rnacentral:misc_RNA from 1 species
AUUUGUGCCCUUCGGUGGCAAACCAAGAUCAGAAAAAAUGACACAACAAUUUUAUGAGUCUCUGCCAUCGUAUGAAGAGUUGACCGUUCCUGAGUUGCAUUUAACAUGGCCCGAAUUGAAAGCUGGCUCGUUGUAUUUCGGCAGAUUCUGUGAUGAGCCAUGCAAGCAAUACAUGCUUUGCAAGCAGGAUAACCCAAGGAAUCCAGCUGUUUGUUUAAACGAGGGCAAAGAAGUCACCAAUUGUGGCUUCAAGUUUUUUGGCAAAGUAAAGAAGCACUGUUUAGCAGAAUUCGAAACCUACUACACUUGUUUAGACAGAGACUUUAGAGGGCUAUUGGAUUUUGAACCGUAAGAGUUUGUAUUCUAUGAUAUUUUAUGUAGCAUUUUUGAAGAGGUUAUUUUUAUUUUAUCCUUAUGCCCUGAAACUUACCGGUACUGCAUCCCGCCAGAAAGAAUUAUACAGUUGUAGAAAACCCCAGCUAAUAUUUGAUGACUGCAUGAAGGAGAAAGUUGGAAUGGACCGUCCCUAUAUUGGAUAUUUUGCGCGAAUCCGUCUUGUGGACAGCGAUAGACCGCGCAGAGUAUUCCCUAAACGUGAAUACAAGAAAAUGAAAGAUCCACCUACACGAGAAGAGCUUGACAGGUAUAAGCUCAAUACAGACCAAUAUCCACUGCAUUUCCAUUCAUUGUUUGACUAAAAAUAAGAAUGUGAGAAGACUAUGGAAAAAUUUCAGGUGUUCUGUACAUUGUUUGACUAAAAAUAAGAAUUUGAGAAGAUUAUGAUCAGCUAUGUCAAUUUUUUAUUGAAAUGUAUAUUUCAGGUGUUCUGUUUAAUAAAUUAUAAUUAAUGAUAAAA